rnacentral:rRNA from 1 species
AGUGAACGCUGGCGGUAGGCCUAACACAUGCAAGUCGAACGGCAGCACAGUAAGAGCUUGCUCUUACGGGUGGCGAGUGGCGGACGGGUGAGGAAUACAUCGGAAUCUACUUUUUCGUGGGGGAUAACGUAGGGAAACUUACGCUAAUACCGCAUACGACCUACGGGUGAAAGCAGGGGAUCUUCGGACCUUGCGCGAUUGAAUGAGCCGAUGUCGGAUUAGCUAGUUGGCGGGGUAAAGGCCCACCAAGGCGACGAUCCGUAGCUGGUCUGAGAGGAUGAACAGCCACACUGGAAAUGAGACACGGUCCAGGCUCCUACAAAAGGGAGCAGUGGGGAAUAUUGGACACUGGGCGACAGCCUGAUCCAGCCAUACCGCGUGGGUGAAGAAGGCCUUCGGGUUGUAAAGCCCUUUUGUUGAGAAAGAAAAGCAGCAGGUUAAUACCCCGCUGUUCUGACGGUACCCAAAGAAUAAGCACCGGCUAACUUCGUG